AAUUGCAGGAAGGCGCGAGGAGUAAACAGACUAGUUCGCCUGCAAGAAAUGUACCACGUGAUGCAGUAGCCUGUUGAUGCUGGCAAAAGAUGCAAUCUGGAGGAUUUCAGGAGAUGGCUCUUGCUCACUGGCAGUGACUUGGGUCAUGUGAGACAGCAUCAGAGCUCGGGUGACAUCUCUCGCUCGGGUGAAAUCUCUCCUGGAAGAUUUCAAGGUAUGAAAUGUUUUACUCGGCUGCAUCUUCCAAUAGAUUACUCUUUAUAUUGGUAUGUAAUGAU